GACAACAUAAUUUCGGUGGAUGCCCCAAGGGCUUAAUAGGGAAGUCGGUGAAAAUCCGACGUGGUCCCGCCGCUGUAAUCGGUAGCGAAAACCGCAGCAUAGCCACUGUCUCCCCAAAGGGCGGCGGGAAGGCGCGGCAACUAGGACGAACCGAAAGCCAGAAGACCUGUCCAACGAGAAAUUCCGAU
rnacentral:ncRNA from 1 species